CUGAUUCUAGCCGGUUCGUUGUUGCUGGGCGCACGGAAAUAUGUACUACAGACAUUACGGUGAACGUCAAGUUUACGCAAUAUUAUUACGUAAGAUGGACGGACGUGUCACAAUACAACCCAACGUCCCAGAGUUUCAACUGUACGCACGCAUAUGUAUGUAUAUAUCGUUGAAAAUGAAUCGGAACAUCCGUAUUCGAGAACAUCUCUAUCCGAUAUUUAGUAAAUUUUUAAAAAAUUGCAAAGCUGAAUAACGAAGCAAGCAACGAGUAUAGUGCACCGUGUAAUUUUAUUGCGUUAGAUAUAUUUUUGGAUUUACUGGGAAGAUGCAGUCGACCUUGAUUUCGUUGAGACGUUAAGUUAUCGAAUCUAACCACGUGUCAAAGAAUUUAUGGAAGGAUACGUUACUCUCACUUGAACGUCCGUUGAACAACUUUAGAAUUAAUGUUUCCCGUAACGGCCACGGUGUCGCAUGUACUGCUAUAUUUCCAUAAAGCGCCGUCUACAAUAUUCGUCAACUACUCAUUUUAUCUAUUAUAAAUUACUGUUCAAAUAUCACUAGGAAAGCUUCGACAAGUUAAAUAGAAAGUUUAGUGUGAUCGCAUCGUGCGUAUAAAGAUAUAAAUGGCUGAAUAUAAUCAUGUGUUAAACGAUUGAAAAUUAAAAAGUAUUUUUUAGCGAUUUUUCCUUCCCUUUUUUUUUUUUUUUUUUGAAGCAGAUUCAAUUACGUAGAAUAUUUAUAUCGCGCUUUCGUUUUCAAAUAAGGUUAAGUUUGCUCGAAAUAAUUAUUUACAUAAUUUCGCAAUGAUAAUUAUUGUAACACGAUAUUUAAUGGUAAAAAAAAAAA